CGGCACGGGUGAGUAACACGUAUCCAACCUGCCGUCUACUCUUGGACAGCCUUCUGAAAGGAAGAUUAAUACAAGAUGGCAUCAUGAGUUCACAUGUUCACAUGAUUAAAGGUAUUCCGGUAGACGAUGGGGAUGCGUUCCAUUAGAUAGUAGGCGGGGUAACGGCCCACCUAGUCUUCGAUGGAUAGGGGUUCUGAGAGGAAGGUCCCCCACAUUGGAACUGAGAUACGGUCCAA
rnacentral:rRNA from 1 species